CAGACGGCUGCGAGUGACCCAAAUCAGAUGAGUCCAUUGCUUGGUCCACUCAACAAAAUUGUAAAGGGUCUUGAGGAAAUGCCUCCGAAGGUUUGUGGGGCCACAAAUUCCCCAUCCACAACCGAAGAUAUUGAAGAGAUGACGACUGAGAGCAACCAGAUCCAGACGGCUGCGAGCGACCCAAAUCAGAUGAGUCCAUUGCUUGGUCCACU